UGUGUCUACGUAAAACCAGAAUCCACCUACCCUACUUUCUCAUUGAAUUCUUAUCGUUGUUCCUGAUUAGCUAUUUUCUGUAUGACAUUGUUAUAAGUUGUGAUGGGAUUCGUUCUCCCAUAGCUAAGUGGAUGGGAUUCUCUAAGCCAAAUUAUGUUAGUCAUUGUGCUUUACCGUGGGCUUGCAUUUUAUCCCAAUGGAUAACCAUUUGAACCAGAAGUUAAUUCCAUAAGAGGAUUGCGUGCCGGAUAUGUUCCUUUCUCCUACAAAAGUUCACUGGUUUAUCUGUUUCAACAACUCAUCUCCAGAUCUCGCACUUGCUCUGUUUGUGUUAAUAUGAAUUCUUUCAUCUAGUGCAAACAUUGAAGAGUUAGGUGUUUGAUAAUAAGCCUAUGAGGAGUUCUUAAACCCUGUCACCUGCAUUCAAACUCUUUACUCCAAUCAAGCAAUUAUCCACUGCCAAAACACUUCAACCUGCCACCUACCCACUCUCACACCACCCAUUCACAAACCCCCUGUUCAUAACCACGAUAACAGUUUGAAAAAGACUUCCUCCCGCCAGCAAUCUCUUUUACACAAUUUUAUAUUCGUGCUCAUUUCGUCCCAUAAACACUCACCCAUGAGUUGCAGAUUUUGGUGUAGAUGAGUUGUAAAUUUUGGCUGAAACAUUUGUUGAUUAGGGGUUGCAAAUUUUUGUGAAGUGAAAUCAUAGUUGCAUUGGCUUUUGGAA